GAUGAACGCUAGCGGCAGGCCUAACACAUGCAAGUCGAGGGGGAGGUUACUUUCGGGUAACUGAGACCGGCGUACGGGUGCGUAACGCGUAUACAAUCUGCCUUUCACUGGGGGAUAGCCCGAAGAAAUUUGGAUUAAUACCCCAUAGUAUAGUAAUACGGCAUCGUGAUGCUAUUAAAGCUUAGGUGGUGAAAGAUGAGUAUGCGUUCUAUUAGCUAGUUGGAGAGGUAACGGCUCUCCAAGGCGAUGAUAGAUAGGGGUUCUGAGAGGGAUGUCCCCCACACUGGUACUGAGAUACGGACCAGACUCCUACGGGAGGCAGCAGUGAGGAAUAUUGGACAAUGGUCGGAAGACUGAUCCAGCCAUGCCGCGUGCAGGAUGAAGGUCUUAUGGAUUGUAAACUGCUUUUGUAAGGGAAGAAUAAGGGCUACGCGUAGUUUGAUGACGGUACCUUACGAAUAAGCAUCGGCUAACUCCGUG
rnacentral:rRNA from 1 species